rnacentral:rRNA from 1 species
GACGAACGCUGGCGGCGUGCUUAACACAUGCAAGUCGAACGGUGAAGCGCUUGCCUUGUUGGUGGGUGUGGAUGAGUGGCGAACGGGUGAGUAACACGUGAGUAACCUGCCCUCUUCUUCUGGAUAACCUCAUGCAAGUGGGGCUAAUACAGGGUAUUCUGGGCCUGUCGCAUGGCGGGUUUGGGAAAGAUUGCGCGUUUGGGAGUGUUCGGUGGGGGCUGGGCUCGCGGCCUCUCAGUUUGUUGGUGUGGUGAUGCCCUACCAAGGCGGUGACCGGUCGGCGGCCUGAGAGGGUGGACGGCCACGCUGGGACUGAGACACGGCCCAGACGCGGGCGGGAGGCAGCAGUGGGGAAUAGUGCACAAUGGGCGCAAGCCUGAGGCAGCGACGCCGCGUGAGGGAGGGAGGCCUUCGGGUUGUGAACCUCUUUCGCCAGUGAAGCAGGCCUGCUCCUGUGUGGGUGGGUUGACGGUAGCUGGAUAAGAAGCGCCGGCUAACUACGUG